CUUAAGCUUUUGGGGGUUGCAAUAAACUGGUGGCUGCGACUGUUUACUAAAAACAUAGCACUCUGCAAACUCGUAAGAGGACGUAUAGGGUGUGACGCCUGCCCGGUGCCGGAAGGUUAAUUGAUGGGGUUAUCUUCGGAGAAGCUCUUGAUCGAAGCCCCGGUAAACGGCGGCCGUAACUAUAACGGUCCUAAGGUAGCGAAAUUCCUUGUCGGGUAAGUUCCGACCUGCACGAAUGGCGUAACGAUGGCCACACUGUCUCCACCCGAGACUCAGUGAAAUUGAAAUCGCUGUGAAGAUGCAGCGUACCCGCGGCUAGACGGAAAGACCCCGUGAACCUUUACUACAGCUUUGCGCUGAACAUUGGGCCUACUUGUGUAGGAUAGGUGGGAGGCUUUGAAACGGUGACGCCAGUUGCCGUGGAGCCAUCCUUGAAAUACCACCCUGGUAGUUCUGAUGUUCUAACCCAGGUCCCUUACCGGGAUCGGGGACAGCGUAUGGUGGGUAGUUUGACUGGGGCGGUCUCCUCCCAAAGAGUAACGGAGGAGCGCGAAGGUACCCUAAGCACGGUCGGAAAUCGUGCGCUUAGUGCAAAGGCAUAAGGGUGCUUGACUGCGAGACAGACACGUCGAGCAGGUGCGAAAGCAGGUCUUAGUGAUCCGGUGGUUCUGUAUGGAAGGGCCAUCGCUCAACGGAUAAAAGGUACUCCGGGGAUAACAGGCUGAUUCCUCCCAAGAGUCCAUAUCGACGGAGGAGUUUGGCACCUCGAUGUCGGCUCAUCACAUCCUGGGGCUGUAGCAGGUCCCAAGGGUAUGGCUGUUCGCCAUUUAAAGUGGUACGCGAGCUGGGUUUAGAACGUCGUGAGACAGUUCGGUCCCUAUCUGCCGUGGGCGUUUGAGAUUUGAGGGAAGCUGCUCCUAGUACGAGAGGACCGGAGUGGACGUUCCUCUGGUGUUCCGGUUGUCACGCCAGUGGCAUUGCCGGGUAGCUACGAACGGACAGGAUAACCGCUGAAAGCAUCUAAGCGGGAAGCCCCUCCCAAGAUGAGAUCUCACCGAGGCCUUGAGCCUCCUGAAGGGCCCUUGAAGACUACAAGGUUGAUAGGCAGGGUGUGGAAGCGCAGUAAUGUGUGAAGCUAACCUGUACUAAUUGCCCGUGAGGCUUGACCAU
rnacentral:rRNA from 1 species